rnacentral:misc_RNA from 1 species
AUGGAUACUCCCGGGUUGCACCCCAAUCACUGACAAAGACUAUUCCAUCAUGUGUCAACUCUCACGAGGAUGCAAUAAGAGAAAAAGAACUUAUUCUGCAUAUGCAUAUUACACCUUUUCUCUGUGAAGUUCCUGACAAUUGAAGCCAUUGCUAGCUUCCUUGAAGAAGGAUUGUGCCAAAACACUCGUGUUUCUUCAUAGGUCCCGAGAUGUAUCCUGUGUUUUCUGGAGCUCUAAUAGAAAAAGAAAUAUGUAAAUAGCAUAGAAGUUUGACAACGGAAGCAGGUUCAGGUAUGUGAACAGUUUUUUUGUUUAAUUUCACCUGAGUAGUGGUUGAGUUUAGGAAGUAAAUUCUG